AGUGGGAUAGCUGGGUCAAAUGUUGAUUCCAUUUCCAGUUUUCCAAAGAAUCUCCAUAUUGCUUCCAGAUUGGUUGUACCAAUUUGCAUUUCCACCAGCAAU
rnacentral:pre_miRNA from 1 species